AUUGAACGCUGGCGGCAUGCCUUACACAUGCAAGUCGAACGGCAGCACGGGUGCUUGCACCUGGUGGCGAGUGGCGAACGGGUGAGUAAUACAUCGGCACAUGUCCUGUAGUGGGGGAUAGCCCGGCGAAAGCCGGAUUAAUACCGCAUACGAUCUACGGAUGAAAGCGGGGGACCUUCGGGCCUCGCGCUAUCGGGUUGGCCGAUGGCUGAUUAGCUAGUUGGUGGGGUAAAGGCCUACCAAGGCGACGAUCAGUAGCUGGUCUGAGAGGACGACCAGCCACACUGGGACUGAGACACGGCCCAGACUCCUACGGGAGGCAGCAGUGGGGAAUUUUGGACAAUGGGCGAAAGCCUGAUCCAGCAAUGCCGCGUGUGUGAAGAAGGCCUUCGGGUUGUAAAGCACUUUUGUCCGGAAAGAAAUCCUUGGCCCUAAUACGGUCGGGGGAGGACGGGACCGGAAGAAUAAGCACCGGCGAACUACGU
rnacentral:rRNA from 1 species